GUCUGACAGCAGUUUGAAGAGGAAAUGGAUUCUGUUCUGUUCUUCACUCAUCACCUACCUGACAGCUGACACCUCACACCUGUUUCUCACCUGCAGGUCAGACAGGACCAUCUGCUGGAGUGAUCAUUGGAGUGAUCAUCGGUCUGAUUGUUGCUGCUGUGCUUCUUGUUGCUGCUGGAUUUUUCAUCUACAGACAUAUAAAGAACAGAAAUUUAAUUUAAGCUAGCAUCCUGAGGAACAUCAGCAAGUUUGAA
ensembl:lncRNA